CCCCUAGACGUUCUGGGCUGCACGCGCGCUACAAUAAUACGCACAGCGAGUAUCACCGAGCUCGAAAGGGCAAGGUAAACAAUAGAAAAGGUACUGUAAUGGUUAUAGAUCCUUGUAAUUAUUGAUCUUCAACGAGGAAUUCCUAGUAAGUAUGUGUCAUCAUCACGCACUGAUUACGUCCCUGCCCUUUGUACACACCGCCCGUCGCUCCUACCGAUUGAGUGAGCCGAUGAAACUGCCGGAUGUGGACUAUUCAUAGUCUGCAGAAGAUAUUUGAAUCGUAGCGCUUAGAGGAAGGAGAANUCGUANCA
rnacentral:rRNA from 1 species